rnacentral:rRNA from 1 species
UACAGAGGGUGCAAGCGUUAAUCGGAGUUACUGGGCGUAAAGGGCGCGUAGGCGGGCGAUUAAGUUGGUUGUGAAAUCCCUGGGCUUAACCUAGGAACUGCAACCAAGACUGGACGUCUGGAGUACUGUAGAGGGGCGGUGGAAUUUCCGGUGUAGCGGUGAAAAUGCGUAGAGAUCGGAAAGGAACAUCAGUGGCGAAGGCGGCCGCCUGGACAGAUACUGACGCUGAGGCGCGAGAGCGUGGGGAGCAAACGAGG